AUUGAACGCUGGCGGCAUGCCUUACACAUGCAAGUCGAACGGCAGCACGGGUGCUUGCACCUGGUGGCGAGUGGCGAACGGGUGAGUAAUACAUCGGAACGUACCUUAUCGUGGGGGAUAACGCAGCGAAAGCUGUGCUAAUACCGCAUACGCCCUGAGGGGGAAAGCGGGGGAUCGAAAGACCUCGCGCGAUUAGAGCGGCCGAUGCCUGAUUAGCUUGUUGGUGGGGUAAAAGCCCACCAAGGCGACGAUCAGUAGCUGGUCUGAGAGGACGAUCAGCAACACUGGGACUGGGACACGCCCCAGACCCCUGCGGGAGGCAGCAGUGGGGAAUUGUGGAAAAGGGGGGCAACCCUGAUCCAGAAAUGCCGCGUGAGUGAAGAAGGCCUUCGGGUUGUAAAGCUUUUUUGUCAGGGAAGAACCCCCGGCUCUAACACAGUCCGGGAAUGACGGUACCUGAAGAAUAAGCACCGGCUAACUACGUGCCAGCCGCCGCCGUAA
rnacentral:rRNA from 1 species